ensembl:lncRNA
AAGAGUUGCAUUUUGUGAUUUUCUGCAGUCUGAAAACACGUGCCUGUUUUCCAGCUUAAAUAAGAUAAACUGUGGAGAGAGAGAAGACCGUAAAGAAUUUUUCUAUAAAGUUUAAAUAGUUCUUAUAACAUAAAACUCAACUAAAGAGAUUGUUUUUGUCCCUGGAGAGACAUUUUCCCCUUGCCUAUUAUUCAAUCCCUAAUAUGUUAAUAGAGACAGUCCCAAAGCUCAGGAAGCGAAACAAGACAGAAAAAAAUGCAUAGAAGCUCUUGAGGUAUAAAUGAUCUCGGGCACAGUUCAAAAAUAUUAGAGCCCUCAUUAUUUCAGGAGAAUGAAACAGGGGCUUCCUAAUGAAAUUAGUGAAGAAAAAAAGCCUUCCACUGCCAAAUUAUGGUAGUCCGUAUUCUGAAAUAAAUUCACAUUCUACUAUGAGGAGAACAUGAAUUAUGUCCAAUUACAUAAUUUGAAAACUCUACCAAAAAGGAAGAGCGUGCACUCAGCAAUCAUUCAGAAAAUAAUCCAGAUAUAUGAUAUCAUAUGGUAUUUGUCUUUCUCUUUCUGACUUAUUUCACUUAGUAUGAGAAUCUCUAGUUCCAUCCACGUUGCUUCGAAUGGAAUUAUUUUGUUCUUUUUGAUGGCUGAGUAGUAUUCCAUUGUAUGUAUGCCCUGCGUCUUCCUAAUCCAUUCAUCUGCCAAUGGACAUUUAGGUUGUUUUCUUGUCUUGGCAAUAGUGAACAGUGCUGCAGUGAACAUAGGGGUGUAUGCAUCUUUUCAAAUGAAAGUUUUGUACAGAUAUGUGCCCAGAAGAGGGAUUGCUAGGUCAUAUGGUAGUUCUAUAUUUAGUUUUCUGAGGUACCUCCAUACUGUUUUCCAUAGUGGUUGUACCAACUUACAUUCCCACCAACAGUACAGGAGGGUUCCCUUUUCUCCACACCCUCUCCAGCAUUAAUUAUUUGUAGACUCACUAAAAAUGGCCAUUCUGACCAGUGUGAAGUGGUACCUCAUCAUAUUUUGAUUUGCAUUUCUCUAAUAAUUAGUGAUAUUGUGUGUUUUAUCAUGUGCCUGUUGGCCAUCUGCAUGUCUUCUUUGGAGAAAUGUCCAUUCAGGUUUUCUGCCCAUUUUUCAUUUGGGUGGUUGUUGUUUUUGCUGUUGAGUUGUAUGAGUUGUUCGCAUAUUUUGGAAAUUAAGCCCUUGUUGGUCGCAUGGUUUGAAACAAUUUUCUCCCCUUCUGUAGGUUGACUUUUUGGUUUUUUUAUGGUUUCCUUUGCUGUUAAAAAGCUUGUAAGUUUGAUUAGGACCAAAAUUCAAUAGACAGGAACUUGUCUUCUCAAUUCAUUUAAAGUGUUCCAUAGACAUUACCGUUUUUGAAUAAUUGCAAAUAUUAAGCAGUCCUAAUGGCAACUCCGUAAUGAUCCAACCAUUUCAGAUCCACUUUCAAGCAAAUUUCAGCUUCUAGAGCCCUUGCCUGUGGAAUACAUGUGGGCAAAAAAUGCAGUGUCAUCCAGGAGUCUAAGGUAUUCGAUUACUCCCUUCCUAGGUUCAAUACAUUCAAAAUAUAGACAGUUAAGUACAGAUCGUGUACCAGUCUCAAAGGUGGGAAAGACAUCACCUGCCUCUACAGGGCUCUCUAAAUGGCAAGGGAAUGGCUACACAAAUAACACAAUGUGGUGAGUGCCAUACUUCGAGAGCUACUGUACCCUGAGGAAGUACAUGCAGAAGCAACUAGGUGUGGCAUGGGCUCUGGGCGUGUGGAAGGGAGCCACCUCCAGGGAAGCGAUCUGAUCGCCCUUUAUUCUCCUGCCUCCUUCUCUCUCUCUCCCUCUCUCUCUCUUUAUGCCAAAUAUUUUUCUCUUUUUUUUUUUUUCUCUUCCAACCUAGUAGUUUCUUUACUCCUUCUGCAUAGGACUUAAGCAACCGUCCUUUUUAUAGCUGAAACUCACUUAAUUCACAUCCAAAUUCAGUUUCCUAAAACUACACAGAACCGUACAGCCUUGCCAAGUGAGUAUUGAACUUGUAGUCAAAAGAUCUGAAUUCAAAUCCUGAUUUUGCUGAGUAGUCAUAGCCAUGCGGCUGAGGAGAAAUAGCCUCCCAGUCUCCCGAGUCUUCAUCUUCACAAUGAACCCGCCUUACCGGGAUGUUGAAAAGAGAGAUGUAGUGAAAAUAGUGCAGAACAUGGAGAGUCGAACAAAAGGGUGAGGUAGUUGGGAUUAUAUUGUGCAAACGUUUAUUUCGUUCUUAAUGGACUUUGUUAAUGAAAAAAUCUGAGCAUCCGAACAAAAUUGAUGGAGUUUGGGGAAAUGUUUAAGAUAAUAUGUUCAUCGUCUGUUCCACCCUUUCCAUGUGUGUAGCAUCUUCUUUAAUGAUAGCAUGAAAGCUUCUUACUGUGUGAAUCCUGCAGGCUAUCUUAAGCAUAGAAGGGAAUUAUUUGGUUGUUCAAAAUACUUAGACGUGGAUUUAUAUUAUAGUCCACAAUUUUUUAAACAUCUAGUGAUACUGAGAAGUCUACCCUUUUUUCUAUCCUCUGAAAUUACAGAGUCCUCAAAGAAAUAGCAGCUCCAAGGAAAAAGAAUACAGAAUUAGUGAAUUACUGUAGUCUAUUCUUACCAAAACCAAAAAACUAAAAAAAUCCAGGACUUUGAGUGAUAACCCACUCCUCUCUUCUAGCAGCUCCAGAUGGUGAGUCACCUUUUAGCAGAAAGUUUGGAAGAGUGUAAUUUAGACAUACAUACAUAUGUAUGUCUUUAAUAAAGAGAUUUUGUUCUACUUUGUUUUCUUGUAAGAUGGUUUUUGUUUCCCUUUCUUUGGACUAGGCAAUGUUCAACUGGAGGCAUUUCGGGAAAACUACUUCUAGUUUGGUUGUUAACUAAUUCUGUCACUCUGUGAACAAAUAUUUAUGGAGGAAAUAGCAUGUGCCAGAUAACCUUUCAAGGGUUAUUCCGUUUAACUCUCGUGACAACUCGUUUUAAGGGUAAGGAUACUUAGACACAAACCAAAUAAAAUUCUGUCAAGAGUGCAGGAAGCCUUACUUUUUUGUUCUGUAUAUAUAUUUGACUAUAUAUGUAUGUAUAUGCACUGUAUAUUAUACUAUAUAUUUUUAAUUUUUUAUUGAACUACAGUUGAUUUACGAUGUUGAGUUAGUUUCAGGUGUACAGCAAAGUGAUUCAGCUAUACAUGUGUAUAUAUCUAUCUUUUAGAUCCUUUUCGCUGUAGGUUAUUAUUAAGUAUUGAGUAUAAUUCCCUGUGCUAUACAGUAAGUCCUUACUGGUGAUCUAUUUUAUGUAUUCUAGGGCAUUAUGUUAACCCCAACUUCCUCACCCACCGCCCUUUCCCCUUUGGUGGCCAUACGUUUGUUUUCUAUGUCUGGAUCUCUUCCUUUUUCUGGAAAUAAGUUCAUUUGUUUGGGUUUUUUUUUUUUUUAUUCUGCAUAUAAGCGGUAUCAUACGAAAUUUGCCUCUCUCUCCCUUGGCACGAUCAUCUCUAGGCUCAUCUGUAUCGCUGCGAUGGCAAGAUUUCAUUCUGUUAUGGAUGAGCAGUGUUCCAUUAUCUGUAUCUGCUUUAACCGCUCAUCCACUGAUGGACACUUAGGUUGUUUCCAUAUCUUGGCUGUCGUAAAUAGUGCUGCAGUGAACACUGGGGGGUAGCUUUUCAAAUCAUGGUUCAACAUGCACCCAAGAGUGGGAUUGCAAGAUCACGCGGUAGCUCUAUUUCUAGUUUUCAAGGCCCCUCCACACUGUUCUCCAUAGUGGUUGUACCAGCUUGGGUUCCCACCAGCAGUGCGGGAGGGUUCCCUUUUCUCCACACCCCCUCCAGCACUUGCUGUUUUGCAGACCUUUUGAUGACGGUUAUGCUGACCCAGGUGAGGGUCGCUCGUUGUAAUCACAAUCCGCAUUUCUCCAGUAGUCAGCAAUGUGGAACAUCUUUUUCUGUGCCUUCCGUCAUCCAUGCCCUUCCGAAAUCAGCGUGCUCAUCUAAACACACUAAUAGGUGAAUGUCCAAACCUGUUCUGAAUUGUUUGCGUGGAACCCUUCACUGUAAAAGGCAGUUCAGAGUCACUGCGUCUUGGCUGAGGCCGUUCGGUCAGAUUUCCACAUCCCACAGCUACCGCGGUGGUGGAACCUGGCAGAGGGAACAGGAUCCCAACUCACAUCUGGAGGAUCUGCCACCUAGUGGUGAAGCUUAGCAAACGUUUUUGUUGUCAACUGAGGCUACAACUUGCUUUCAAGUGUACUUUUCUCAGCUGUAGAUAGGUCCAGCUUUGCUCAGCUACCUCCAGUGAACAAUGCAGACACAUUCUCAUGAUAAUAAACCAGCAGGCAGAAUUUCUAGGGAUGACAAGAAACCUCUUUGGCUCUCCAUUCCUUGAGGACAGGGAAAAAGUUCACCCCUUAAUCAAAUGCUGCUUCUUGUCAAAAAGGUCUGAUACUGUACGCAGCAAAAACCACCCAAGCACAGACUGCAAAGAGACAUCACAGAGUCUCCUCCAGUCGACUGCAUUAGAAAUUGGGUGCUUCUGGAUUCCUGCAUUAUCUGCCCCUAAAUUAUCUGGCUUUCAAAGGGGUAUUGGCAAGUAUUUUCCUCCUUGGGUUCCUGCUUUUUUAAACUGAUGAAAAACAAAUUUCAGUAUUUCUCACCAAAUGACAAACUUGAAGCGCUUUGGAAUUUUCAGAGGAACAGUGUUUUUGCAGACACUGCAGUUUGCCAAAAAUUCUGACGUUGAAGUCUGAAGUAUGAGACUUUAAUUAAAUGACCAGGCAACAAGUCUACCAUCUCCGUUAUCAUCUCUAAGGCUUGCGUGGUUAUAUAUUUGCGUAUUUUAUGUUGCAAUCCAAUGCUGCCGCUGAAACAUUCAUACUAUUGAGAUUUGGGGCCAGAAGGAGACUUGAAUUUAGAGCAGGAAUGAAUUGAAUCCCUCAUUCUCAGAUGAAAUGCACACAGUCGAGAGCUCCAUGACUAUCUGCGAGACAGAUGGGAACUCCUGAUGCAUACCAGGCAACCGGUCUUCAGCAAAAAAAAAA